rnacentral:rRNA from 1 species
GGGGAUAAUCGGGAGAAAUCCCGUCUAAUACCGCGUAAUGCCGCGGGGCUGCAUGGCCCUGCGGCCAAAGGAAGCGAUUCCGGCAACGGAUGGGCAUGCGUGACAUUAGCUAGUUGGCGGGGCAACGGCCCACCAAGGCGACGAUGUCUAGGGGUUCUGAGAGGAAGGUCCCCCACACUGGUACUGAAACACGGACCAGACUCCUACGGGAGGCAGCAGUGAGGAAUAUUGGUCAAUGGGCGCGAGCCUGAACCAGCCAAGUCGCGUGAGGGAUGACGGCCCUACGGGUUGUAAACCUCUUUUGUCGGGGAGCAAAUUCCGCCACGUGUGGCGGAGUCGAGAGUACCCGAAGAAAAAGCAUCGGCUAACUCCGUGCCAGCAGCCGCGGUAAUACGGAGGAUGCGAGCGUUAUCCGGAUUUAUUGGGUUUAAAGGGUGCGUAGGCGGACUGUCAAGUCAGCGGUAAAAUACGGGGGCUCAACCUCUGCCCGCCGUUGAAACUGACGGUCUUGAGUGGGCGAGAAGUAUGCGGAAUGCGUGGUGUAGCGGUGAAAUGCAUAGAUAUCACGCAGAACUCCGAUUGCGAAGGCAGCAUACCGGCGCCCAACUGACGCUGAAGCACGAAAGCGUGGGUAUCGAACAGGAUUAGAUACCCUGGUAGUCCACGCAGUAAACGAUGAA